rnacentral:lncRNA from 1 species
CUCACUCAACUAUCCAUGCAAAGCAUGCAAAAGAAAGCUGGACAGGACACUUUCGGCGGCAGGUUCGGCGGCCGAAUGUCCUCUCCAGAGACGAAACUCAAGCACCUUCGGCGGCACCUUCGGCGGCCGAAUCCCCCAAACAGAGCCGAACAUGCAAAAACACUCAGGGGCAAGCUGUGGCAACUAAGCCACCAUGCAGGAG